rnacentral:tRNA from 1 species
AGCUCAGUGGUAGAGUGCUUGCCUUGCAUGCAUGAAGCCCUGGGUUCGAUUCCUCAG